rnacentral:rRNA from 1 species
UACAGAGGGUGCGAGCGUUAAUCGGAAUUACUGGGCGUAAAGCGCACGUAGGCGGCUUGGUAUGUCGGGUGUGAAAUCCCCGGGCUCAACCUGGGAACUGCAUCCGAAACUGCCUUGCUCGAGUAUGGGAGAGGGAAGUGGAAUUUCCGGUGUAGCGGUGAAAUGCGUAGAUAUCGGGAGGAACACCGGUGGCGAAGGCGGUCUUCUGGACGGUGACUGACGCUGAGGCGCGAAAGCGUGGGGAGCAAACGGG